rnacentral:rRNA from 1 species
AAUUGGAGGGCAAGUCUGGUGCCAGCAGCCGCGGUAAUUCCAGCUCCAAUAGCGUAUAUUAAAGUUGUUGCAGUUAAAAAGCUCGUAGUUGAACUUCGGGGUUCAUCCCGCUGGUCAGGCUUAGCGUCUGUACUGGUGAGAUGAAUUUCCUACCUUCUGAGGAACCUUCMUGCCAUUCAUUUGGUGUGAUGGGAAAUCAGGACUGUUACUUUGAAAAAAUUAGAGUGUUUAAAGCAGGCUUUCGUCUGAAUAGGUUAGCAUGGAAUAACGUAAUAGGACGGCCUGAUCCUAUUUCGUUGGUUUCUAGGAUCACCGUAAUGAUUAAUAGGGAUAGUUGGGGGCAUUAGUAUUCAAUUGUCAGAGGUGAAAUUCUUGGAUUUAUUGAAGACUAACUAUUGCGAAAGCAUUUGCCAAGGAUGUUUUCAUUAAUCAAGAACGAAAGUUAGGGGAUCGAAGACGAUCAGAUACCGUCGUAGUCUUAACCAUAAACUAUGCCGACUAGGGAUCGGACGAAGUUAAUUUUAUAAUGACGCGUUCGGCACCUUACGGGAAACCAAAGUGU